GUACGAGCGCCUUUCCGUUUGCUUUUGACGAGGGAACCGCGAGCAGCCAAGGCGUGCGGCUGGCUCCUCGCCGCGAUCUCUCUCCGGUCGCCUUGAUCGUGCCGGCCAUGGCGGAAUCCGCCCAAUCCCGCGGCAUUGUCGUCGAAUUUGGAGGGUUUCCUCCUCCUACAAACGUGGGUGUGGAUUUGACCUUGCGACCUAGUGAUUCCAAAAACUGUUGAUGCCAUUGCCCAAGAGCUGAAACUUCUGGAUCUCGGUCAUGUCGCGGCAGGGUGCCGUAAUCUCGAUGUCAUUAUUCUCAAGGGACCAAUUGUCUGUUCCCAAUCAUAACCCCUCACUGUAUUUCAGGCGACUCGGGUUCUUCGGCAGUUAAACGGAAGUGCCCACCCUGCCAACAAGAUGACGGCGACGACGACCGCACCGGUUCAAACUCUCACAAUGGAAUCAGCUCAUGGAACAGCCUUUCCGAGGAUGUCGUGCAUCAUAUACAUGGCCUAAUGCCGCUGCGAGACGCAGCACGUGCUGCGUGCGUGUGUCGAUCAUUUCGACGUUCCUGGAGACACUAUCCUAACCUCACCUUCGGCAUGAAAGAACUGGGCUUGAUUGGAAAAGCAGCCACAGUGGACGAAGGAGCAAUGGAUCUUCUAAGCAGAACUGACCAUAUCUUUGGAAAUCAUUCAGGCAUCGGAGUGAAGACGCUUGAGCUUCACCUCCCCUGGAAGUGGAACAGACUCGACACCUCUUACGUCGACAGGUUCCUCAAGGCUGCCAUUGCACCCGGUAUCCAAGAACUCACCGUGAUGCUGCCCUUGUUCCGGCACUGCAGAACAGACUACAACUUCCCGUGCUCGCUUUUAUCAGGCGAGAGCGGGCGGUCAAUUCGGUAUCUUAAACUCACCAAUUCUAUUUUCCAUCCCACCGCCGGACUUGGUUGCCUGACGAGAUUGCAUCAGCGAUGACGAGUUGGGGUCCUUCCUUUCUGAUUCUUUGGCUUUGAGGCAUCUGCGACUCUCUUGUUGUGAUGAGAUCGUCUGCUUGAAGAUACCUUGCCUGCUGCGGCACCUCAGGUCCCUGGAGGUGUUUCAAUGUAAGAUGCUACAUGCAAUUGAGAGCAAUGCCCCAGAUAUCUCUAGUGUAGACCUUGGACUUGGCGACCAAGUGGAUUUCUCACUCUCACUGGGAGAUGGUUCAUCUCAAGUGAAGCAGCUCCGAAUAUCACCUGCAUCCCCAAGUUAUGCUCUCGGCAAGCUUCCAUCAAUUACACUCGCUCUUGAAGCCCUUAACAUAUCGUUGUUGCCACACGAGCAGGUGAGCACACCAAUGGUGCCUGGAAAAUUCCACCACCUCAAGUACUUGAAUAUUUCUCUUCCGCUGUCUCGGCAGCAGAUGAAUAUGAUUAUUUGUCUCUGUUAGCUUUUCUUGAUGCUUCUCCUGCCUUAGAGACUCUCGUCUUGAGGUCAGCGAGGAUUAUGAACUGUGUUAACAGAGGCUACGGUAGGAUUCACCGUGAUGUUUCACAUUUGGCGCGGGGGCAAGAAUUUCGCCAUGAUAGCCUCAAGAAUGUGACGAUCUAUAGUUUCUACUCUGCUAAGAGCAUGAUUGAGUUAACCUGUUGUAUGCUGAAGCACACGGCUUCACUUGAGUGCCUGACGCUGGACACCACCUAUGGUUACUCUAGGUGUUCCUCAUGCAGAAGCGGCAGGUGCUUCCCCAUGGACACGCGUGAUGUCCUACAAGCCAAGAAAGCGCUCGUGGCUAUAAGAAGAUACAUCAAGCCCGAAGUACCCUGUAAUGUCAACUUGAUUGUUGUGGAGCCUUGCAGUUCCUGUCAUGUGAGCGAUAACUGAUUCUAUACUUUUCUGUUUCAACUUAGAACUGCAUAUUUACAUGGUAUUAGAGAUACGGAAAAAAAAUGUCACUUGGCCAAGAUUUUCACAAGACAUGUUUGUUUUUAAA